GAUGAACGCUAGCGGGAGGCCUAACACAUGCAAGCCGAGCGGUAUAGAAUCUUCGGAUUUUAGAGAGCGGCGUACGGUGCGGAACACGUGUGCAACCUACCUUUAUCUGGAGGAUAGCCUUUCGAAAGGAAGAUUAAUACUCCAUAAUAUAUUGAUUGGCAUCAAUUAAUAUUGAAAGCUCCGGCGGAUAGAGAUGGGCACGCGCAAGAUUAGUUAGUUGGUGAGGUAACGGCUCACCAAGACGAUGAUCUUUAGGGGGCCUGAGAGGUGAUCCCCCACACUGGUACUGAGACACGGACCAGACUCCUACGGGAGGCAGCAGUGAGGAAUAUUGGACAAUGGGUGCAAGCCUGAUCCAGCCAUCCCGCGUGAAGGACGAC
rnacentral:rRNA from 1 species